AGCCAGUGUAGGAAUAAAUGUGAAUUUGUAUGUAUUGCUGAAAUGUGCAUUUUGCCAUCCAGUUGCAAUUCCUGUUUUUCUGAAAACAAACCUUAAAAAUCAAGAAAGGUGAAGGACAUUUACAUAUUUAAGCUGACGGCACCCCUAACAACAAGGCAGGAUUGUUUUGUUUAGGAAAGAAUUUAAAUGAAAGAACUCUCACUAUCAGUUCUUAAUGUGAUUUUGCAGACUUGGGUUUUUCAGAAACAAAACUUAAAUUCAACUAGAUAGUUUGGGCACACCAGGAAGCAGGUAAAAACUCUGGAAACUUGGGACCGGGGAGCAGCCACGGGGGAGAAGAAGCCCGGCAAAUAAAGGAAAGUGAAGAUGACGGAGACUCCGAGGGGCAGAGGAAGGCAAGGAAGUCCAGAAAUGGAGCAGUCAAGCCCCAGAGCGUCUGUCUGCAGGGGCUGAGGACAACUUUCAAGCAAGAGGGCCAGGAGCCCAAGGCUAGCAGAGUAUCAGAAGCGUCUGGCCACCCACAGGUCAGCAGCCAGCACUCUCUCUCCCUUGAUGACAGCAGCUGGCUCCAAAAAGGACCAUAGCUGUGGAAAGGAAACCUCUAAAUGUCUGAUAAAGGCACAAAUACAUGGCUCUUUCAAUGCAAAACCAACUAGUGCCUAAUAAAAGCAAACAGAUGCCUCUCCAGCCUGAAGAAAAUGACAAUUUCUUUGGAGGGCCUCAUCUUGAAUCCUUUCCUUUCCUUAAUGACCUAACGAGAGCCAUUCUGAUGAUUGUAAGAGCCAUGACUGACAUUCCACACCUGUGGCCUACCCAGAGUCCAAUUUGACAGUGAUCAUAAAUAAAAUCUUGUCGUACUAUUAUAGGAUGUUUGGCAAGGACAAGAAUUAAGGCACCUUUACAACUCCCUAAGGAAUCUGGUGAUAUUUCUAACAUGAUCUCACACAUUCUGUCCUGCCCGACCUUCCUUGUAUCACCUUCCUGAGUUAUAGCUUGUAUCCGUUACCCUCUCCUCCUUCCACAGCCUCUCCCCAAAAUAAAGAAUUGCUG
rnacentral:lncRNA from 1 species